UUCUGUGAGUGCUACAGGUGUUUCAAUUCGUUUGUGCUGAUUUUCUCAGAACCCACUUUUUCACGUUUCUUUCAUGUACCAACAAGCAUAAUUAUAUUGACAUGGAUGCUUUAUCUGUGUCCGGUUACCGUAUUUCACCGGCUAAAAAAUGUUAAACGUUAUCGCUCGCUACACGAUGCGCCUGAACGUAUCGGAAGUUUCGCGAAUGUUAUCGAUGGUUCUGUCUUGUCGACGAACCUUGCUAAUCUGAUUGCAUACGCGACACGAAUUGUGUUGUAGUUUCUGGAAGGCGCGCGUGCACCAGCGAAUAGGCUGUAACUUUCGACGACUGCCGUAUGCAAACCGACGCGCUUGACCCGCAGAUGAGAUUUUCUACGAUUGCCGACAUUGCUCGCCGCUAUCGUUGCGAUUGAGCCGGCACUAUUUAUUUACCGUCACUACUACGUGGCAAUAUUUCCAACACAGAUUUUUUUCAGUUAUACAUUGCACGCCUAAUUCUUACAUAGUUGGCUGUGCAAUAAGCUACUAAAAAAAUGAAAUGGUGCAACAGUUUUUGAUAUAUGGCAUCGUCGUGGAGGUGUUUGCAAAGCGAUCUUGCAGACAGACGACGCGCGAGCGCUGAUGUCGAUAUUUUGUACACUAUUGUUACUUCAAAAAUAAAAAAAACUGUUGCGGCAGGUGUAUAUUCAUUAUUCAAACGUGUUUUUUAUAUCUAAAAGCGCAUACAGAUCACUAACUUAUUCUUUCAAGCUUAGUUUACAGCAGGCUGUUUUAGGCCGGACUUUGACGGAUGAAGACGGAAUAGUCCAGCAACAGUGCGCCGCAGCCGAGGAGCGAGCUUCGGCGUGCGUCGGAGCUUAUCUCCAGUGGUUGCGCGCCCUUUCCCUCCAGCCGAAGCGAAGCGACGCGUUCGCUUGCCAGCGCGCGCCGAAGCUUUCGGCGCGUGCCAGUGGUUGGGGCAUAACGCCUGCGUUCCGUCGACCGGGUGAACGCAGACACUUUCGCACGACCCAUCAUGUGCGAAGCCUUGUCAGACCGCUCCGCCGGGCUCUUUCUGUAAAAUGCACCUGAGCAUCGUUGUUGGGUUCUUCUGCCAGCGUCUGCUUCGUCGCCGUUUCAUGGAAUCUCCACCAUUUCCUCAAAAUACACUGCACAGCCAAAGGACAUCACGCAUACUCAAGGGCGAAAUUCCAAGUAUCAGAAGACGAUUGCAAGGCUUCGAAGACAGUAGGUGAAGACCCCCAACACAAAGUGCCUAAUUGCAGCUCUUUAAUGACGGACACACUGGCUUACACAUUCGAGAUGAAGAUGUUGGUGCGUGCUCAAUUAUUUUUGCAGCCAUUUUAUCUUGGAACGCUACCAUUCACAUAAUUUUGCUGCCCUAAUUCACCCUCCUUUGCAGAAGUACAUGAAAUAACGUCAUUUUUUUUCCUUCUCAAAAUCCCAUUUUAAGAAAAUAAAUUGCUGUCGUGUA